GACGAACGCUGGCGGCGUGCUUAACACAUGCAAGUCGAACGGUGAAGCUCGUUGCUUGCACUGGGUGGAUCAGUGGCGAAAGUGUCAGUUAUAUGUGAGUAACCUGCCCUUGACUCUGGGAUAAGCAUGGGAAACUAAGUCUUAAACUGGAUGUGACCUGCUAGUGCAGGGUGGGGAGUGUAAAGCGUUUUUGGGGCUUUGCAUGGGCUCUCGGCUUAUCGGCUUGUUGGUGGGGUAAUGGCCUACCAAGGCGACGCCGGGUAGCCGGCCUGAGAGGGUGACCGGCCACACUGGGACUGAGACACGGCCCAGACUCCUACGGGAGGCAGCAGUGGGGAAUAUUGCACAAUGGGCGGAAGCCUGAUGCAGCAACGCCGCGUGAGGGAUGACGGCCUUCGGGUUGUAAACCUCUUUCAGCACGGACGAAGCGUGUGUGACGGUACGUGCAGAAGAAGCGCCGGCUAACUACGUG
rnacentral:rRNA from 1 species